UAAGGAAUAUUGGUCAAUGGACGAAAGUCUGAACCAGCUAUGCCGCGUGGAGGAUGAAGGCCCUCUGGGUUGUAAACUUCUUUUAUAUGGGACGAAAAAGGGUCUUUCUAGAUCAACUGACGGUACCAUGUGAAUAAGCACCGGCUAACUCCGUGCCAGCAGCAGCGGUGAUACGUAGGGUGCAAGCAUUAUCCGGAUUUAUUGGGCGUAAAGGGUUGCGUAGGUGGUUUAGUAAGUCUUUUCUUAAAGA
rnacentral:rRNA from 1 species